UUUUUUUUUUUUUUUUCCUUUUUGUCUUUUUAGGGCAGCACCCAUAGCAUAUGGCGCGGUUCCCAGGCUAGGAAUCAAAUCAGAGCUGUAGCCACCGGCCUACACCACAGCCAAGGCAAUGCAGGAUCCAAGCCUCAUCUGCGACCUACACCACAGCUCAUGGCAACGCCGGAUCCUUAACCCGCUGAGAGAGGCCAGGGAUCGAACCCAUGUCCUUGUGGGUGCUAGUCGGGUUCGUUAACCACUGAGCCAUGACGGGAACUGAGAUUGCUUUCUGUCUCCUAAUGCGGUAUGAAAAAGCCAAAUACAAUUAGUCUAGACCAUACUCAAGUGGCCCUGGAAGGCUGGAAGUUCAAUUACUUUCCCAAGAUCAUAUAAUAAGUCAGAUUUUUCGAAAGCAAAACUAGGUGAUAGAGACCCAAGGUGUACGUGGGUUCCUCUCCCAGGACAGAAGUGGUAAUUUACUUCCGCCUGGUGAAGGACAAGGUCUGCAUCCAUGAAAGAGCAGAGGUCGAGGGCACCUGGCUGGUGAAGGAAACAGACCCCAGCUCUUCACAUGACUUCUUGUUCUACACACGGUUUCCAUUCUCAUACCACUGGUCUCCUAGUGUGUGUCUUUGCACUUUUCACUUUUCUUUCUUUUUUUUUUUUUUUUUUUUUUUAGGGCUGCACCCACAGCAUAGAGAGUUCCCAGGCUAGGGGUCCGGUUGGAGCUGUAGCCUCCGGCCUGCACCAGAGCCACAGGAACGUGGGAUCUGAGCUGAGUCUGCAACCUACAGCACAGCUUGGGGCAACGCCAGAUCCUUAACUCACUGAGCAAGGCCAGGGAUUGAAACCACACCCUCAUGGACGCUAGUAGAGUUCGUUAACCACUGAGCCAUGACAGGAAUGCCUCUUUUCACUUCUGAAACAGCUUUAAUCUGGUACAUCUUCAGGAUGAAAUUAGUGCUGUCAACAGGAUGCCAUCCACAGCCACAGCCUGGCGAUGUGUAAUCUGAAACACUCACGGGAAGAAGCCCCAACAGAAAACGGAUGGAGUUCCAGACGCAUGGAGGCCUUGCAUCCAGUAACACAGACACAGCUCUUGGAGGGCUUUUUGGUGUCUAGAGAUUUCUAAAAUGAUGCUCCAGAGGUGAGGAGGGGCUUCUGUAAUCAGAUCUACCAGGGUAGAUCUAAACAUGAAUCUGCCUUUGCCAUAUCACAUUUAUCAGAAUUCCCACCCGAAAAGCUUUGCACAUUGGAUCUUAUGCUUAAAUAAAAUAUUUCAAAGCAAACAUAUUAUGGCUUGCUGAAAAAACGAUAUUAAUUUCCAGCCACCUAUGAAUUAGCAUCCAUUAGACUCAUCAAGCCAAAUCAUCAGCUAUGUAAUUAAAUUUAGUCUUACUUCUGGCUGGGGGGGGUGGGGAACGGACUACUAUAACAUUUGGGUCAACAGUGAUUUCCUCUUCCCAGAACUUUAAUUUCCUCUCUGUCUAUACCUUGUCUCUGCUGGACACUAGAAAGGCCUGAGAUUAUCUCUGCUAGACAAAUAUGUGCCCUGAGAAAUAGGAUCUAUUUGAAAACCAUAAUGAUUAUAAAUGAAACCCAACCUUAUCGGCUCCCAGUACCAAGUGCUUUGCUUCUUUUAGGUUGAGUGUAGAGCAUGGUAAACAACAAAGAUAGGGAACUAAAACAGAGAUUUUUUUUUUCAUCCAUUCUGAAAUGAGAUGCAGAUCAUGUUUAUUUCAGGGUUUUUAAGGGGUGUGAAAACUAAGGAUGAAACACUGGACAGAAGUCAUGCGAGGAACUAUUGCAGAGUACGUAAUAGAACCCAUGAACGAAGUUAGAAUCUUUUAAGUAUUUAGCACCAAUAAAAGGCCUCUCACUGAUACUUCAUGGUAUAAAAGGCAAUGCAUAGAGUUGUUCUGUCCUCCACUUUCAGUGAAGGUCGCUGUGAGGAGAUUCCUAUGAACUUCUUGGGGGUUCAUGGUGGGAACACAGAGCAUCCUUGAGAGAAAUAUCUCUCGGGCCUUGGACCUAAGAAAAACUGUUUUCUCCUUAGUAACUACUUUAUUUUCAAUUGAGGCAUUUUGAGUCUUGUAACCAGUUGUUUUCUCUUUGUUCUGGCCACUGGCAGCCUAGAGCCAAAUAUGCAGCCCAUCUUCAGCAAUGGAAUAGAACAAUGUGACAGGCAUUUACUCUGUCCUAAUCUGGCUCAGCCUUAAUCUAUAUUCCUAAACCAAAUUCUCCUUUUGUCUUGAUUAUAACACCUAUUUCUUUUUAUCCAGUUGUAAUAUUAAAAUAGAAAAUAGGGGGUUCCCAUCAUGGCUCAGUGGUUAACAAACCCAACUAGGAUCCAUGAGGACGUGGGUUCAAUUCCUGGCCUCACUCAAGCUCUGGCACUGCCAUGAGCUGUGGUGUCACAGACAUGGCUCAGGUCCCGUGUGGCUGUGGCUAUGACGUAAGCUGGCUCUGAUUCGACCCUUAGCCUGGGAACCUCCACAUGCCAAGGGUGCAAGUCCUCAAAAGACAAAAAUAAAUUAAAUAAAAUAAAAUAGAAAAUAAAUAUUUCUUAAAUCACCUCAAACCUUUUCUUUUUAUUAGAGUAUAGUUGAUUUACAGUGCUGUGGCAAUUGCUGCUGUACAGCAAAGUGACCCAGUCAUACAUAUACAUACAUUCUUUUUCUCAUAUUAUUUUCCAUCAUGUUCUAAUCCAAGAGAUUGGAUGUAGUUCCCUGUGCUCUACAGCAGGAUCUCAUUGCUGAUCUAUGCUAAAUAUAAUAGUUUGCAUCUACUUUUUAAUGAAAUUGUUUUACUAGGUUGUUCUGUUGAUGUUUUCCAUGUUAAUGACUACCCGCUGUACUUCAGAGGCUUGAGGUGGGAGAGCCCUUUAAAUUAAAAUGAAGCACAAAGCCAACAUCAUCUUUGUACGACAAGAAUUCUAUGGUAAGGUCAAAUAUUAUGUUGAAGCCCUGUCUGAUCCCAAUAGCAGCAUAAUUUCACUUAAGAACUAAAGGAUCCCCAAAAAUUGAUGAUUUGGGUCCUGGGAACCAUAGAAUAAAUAAUUUGCCAAUCAAUUCACCUGUUCUAGGUCCACCACCAAGUGCUCUCUCCAAUAUUGAUCUCAGUUGCUCCCUUAAGGAUAUAAAUGUAUUCAGAUCUUUCUCAUGCACAGAAGAGCCCUUCUUUGAUCUGACAUAACCUUCUAGCUACUAUCCACUAUCUUUACUUUCACAGUCAAAUUUCUAGAAAGGCUUUUGUGACCUUCACUUUGACCCUUGCAAUCAUUCAGCCCAUGGGAAUGUCACUUCUAUCCCCAUAAUUCCUCUGAAAUUUCUUAGCCAAAGAUAACCAAUGGAUAACCAGUCAUCAAUGCCAGCAAUCAGGUCUCAGCAUUAACCUUCCCUGAUACCUACAUUCAGUUUACAUACUUAUUAGUUACCUAAUUUGAAACCUUUUGACACUGUGAACUAUUUCCUUUUUUUUGAAGCACUUUGCUUCCUCAGAUUCUGAGAUACCACUCUUUCCAGGACAUCUUUCCCUCUCUCCUCUGUGUCUCCCUUGCUUAUCCUUUUGCCUUUACCUGCAUUUAAAAUGCUGUGUGCCUUGAAGAUUUAUCCAGGGCCCUUUUCUCAUCUUUCAUCUGUAUCCUUGACUCCAACUACUAUAUGUUUUCAAAGCCCAUAUCAUUUCUGGCUUGCACACCAAUCCCAUGGCCAAGUUUAUACUAGCUAUUCCCUUGGAUCUAUUUGAAAAGUCUUAAUGAUUAUAAUUAGAAGUAAAGGUACUUCCGGUCUUAAUGAUCAUGAUAAAACACCACAGGAGCCUCAAACUCAGCAUGUAUAAAACUGAACACAUCAUCUGUCAUCUAAAUCUGCUCUUGCCUCCUGUAUUCUCCGUCUUAAGGAAGAUAUCAACAUUCACCCAAUUAUCUCUUCCUUGUCUUGCAAUAGUUUUCUCAUUAGCUAACUCCAAGACUACAGAGGAUGAACAAUAAUCCUCUCUGUUUCCUUCCCUGUCUGAUCCCAAUAGCAGCAAUAUCUUUUCUUGGCAUAGCAAUCACUGAACAUAUGCCUUGAAAUGAACACAGAUAAAGUUGCCUGACUUUCUGAAUAUAUAAUCAAUCGGGAAGAGAAUGAGGGAGGGAGAAAAACUAUCUCAAUCUUCUUUUAGGGGAUGUGAGGCUACUCUGUUGCCAGAGGCAAAACAUGGGUAAGGACACUAAAUACAGUCCUCGUCCCUGUUCCAUGGACUUCAUAAAUAGCAGAAAGUCCUUCCAGAGGGUGACAACAGGUCAUUUGUUUCAACUUGGGGUGUUGAAAUUUUUUUCUCUUUUUUAGUAUUUUUUGGAUAUUUUAGUAAGAAGAUUUGCAGAGCAGACUGCCUUGGGAGAUGAUAGGCAGAUGCCACUUAAUGAGGGAAUUUGCUAUCAUCAUUUUUAAAUUUCUCUAUAGGCAAUUUUUAUAGAUUAUGUGACCCAGAGUCAGAAAGGGAAAAAUAGUCAAUUGAAACAGACCCACAGAAGACCCAGAUACUGGAACUAGAAGAUAAGGACUUUAAAAUAACUACAAUAAAUAUAUCAAAAAGUAUACAGGAAAUUAUAGAUAUGGCAGGUGAAAAGAUAAGAAAAUUCACAGAGAAAUGGAAAUUCACAAAGAACCCCCCCUAAAAAAAAAGAAAAUCCUGGAACUGAAAAAUAAAAUAUCUAAAAUUAAAAAUUCAUUGGAUGUGAUUAACAGCAAAUUGGACAAUGCAGAAAAAAACUGAACGUGAAGAUGAAUCAAGAGAUGCUACCAGAAUGGAAGCAUGACACAAAAGAAAAAGAUUUAGAAAACUAUGUGCAUUGCCUCAAUGACUUAUGGGACAAUACCAAGCACUCCAAUAUAUGAAUGAUUGCAGUCCUAGAAAAAGAGGAUAAAGAAUGGGGUGGGAAAAGUAAUAUAUCCUGACUGUCCAAAAUCCUGGAGGAUAAAUAUAAAGAAAAUUACAUUUAGGCAUAUCAUAGUCCACCUGAGAAAUAUCUGAAUGACAAAAAAAGAAAUAAUAGUGUCACAUUGGAUAAUAACCUAAAGUAUAAAAUAAAUACCCAUGGGUUCAUGCUGAUAUGUGUAAAUGACUGAAUAAAUAAAUAAGUGGUAGGGAAAGGCUAAGUCUUCCUACAGAAGAAUUCCAAAUAAAUUACCCAGAUACCCCCGCCUCAGGGAGGUAUAAACUCCCCAAACUUUGGAAAAGGGAGAAAAGUAACUUCGCAAAGACUAAACUCGGCAAACACUCCCUUGGCCAGGUGACCAAGGUUAACAUGACCAGUGAUGCGUCACCCUAAUUUUGUGUGCCCCCAAGAUGAUGUGACAAGACUGGUACUUCACCUCUGUGGUCUUUCUCCAAAAAGCCAUAACCCUGCUCUAAUCAUGAGAAAAAACAUCCAACAAACCCAAAUCAAGGGAAAGUCUACAGAAUAGGUGACUAGUACCCCUUGAAAUAGUGAUGAUAAUCAAGGGGUAAAAUUACAAAGGGUACAAAGGGGGCGUCAAUCACAUCUGAAAUAUUAUAUUAAAAUAUUAAAGCAAAAAUAACCAGUCCUGAUAAAAAAAAUUUAAAAAUAAAAAGUCUGAGAAACCGUCAUAGACCAGAGGAAGCUAAGGGGGGUAUGAUGAAUAAAAUAAUGUCAUAGCCUAAAGAGGAACUUGGCAUAGGAAGGGGACAUUAAGGUAGUUCCCUUUGUGGCUCAGCAGUUAAUGAACCCAACUAGGAUCUAUGAGGAUGUGGGUUUGAUCCCUGGCCCUGCUCAGUGGGUUAAGGAUCCGAUGUUGCUGUGAGCUGUGGUGUAGGUCACAGAUGCGGUUCACAUCCCGCAUUGCUGUGGCUGUGGUUAGGCCAGCAGCUGUAGCUCCGAUCCAACCCCUAGCCUUGGAAUUCCAUAUGCCACAGGUGCGGCCCUAAAAAGCAAAAAAAAAAGGGGGGGGGACAUUAAGGAAAAAUUAGUGAAAUCUUUAUCAAGUGUGGAGUAUAGAUAAUAAUAACAUACUAUUGUUGGUUCUUUAGUUGUGACAAAUGUACAACAUAAGAAACUAGGUGAAGAAUACAUGAACUCCAAAGUCUUUGAAACUUUUAUACUAUAACUAUUUUAAAAUAAAAAAUUCCUUUAAGUUUGAAAAGGGCAAAAACAUGAGCAGGGUCUGAAUGACUUGUGGGAUAGCAUCAAACACUCCACUAUGUGAAUAAUUGGUGUUAUUCUACAAAUCAAAAGCAGGACAACCUGAGUUUUGAGAGUAUCAAGAUAGGCCCCCAGCUGUUGCUGCUCACACAGCACCUGCAUCUUAGUGCCACCUAGAAUGGCAGGGUCUAAAGAUUUGGCUUAAGACAUGAUGAGAGACAAGGGUAUGCUUUGGAAAAGGCACACGGUUCCAUUAGGUUCCAGAGUGACAUCGCCAAGAUGGCAGCGUGGGAGCCCUGAGCCUCUGCCUCCCAACAAAGAUCAACAAUUAAACAAUUUUCCAUAAACAAAAAAAGCUCUGGGAGAACUCAGGAGUCUACUUAAGAAACUCCAAUAACACCGUGGAACAAAAAUUACACACAAAAAAAGGGAAGGAAGAGCAGCCUCAUUUUGUCUGCAGAGUCCUAUCCCCUAGGCUGCCACUGCUUAGCAUUAAGGGAACUUCCCAGAUUGUCAGAGUCCCC
rnacentral:lncRNA from 1 species